rnacentral:lncRNA from 1 species
GGAGCCGCCCCGCCCAGGUGCUGCCCGGGCAGGCAGGAGGCAGGAGCGCGGGCGGGGCGGGGGCGGGCGCGUGAAUCAGGCCGGGCGGGCGCGCCGGGGAGUGGCUGCCGGACCGACCGGACCGCGAGGCCGCUGGGCGGCGGUCGGCUCCUGCUGCCCCUGUGCCGAGACCCCGCGCACCUGGCCAGGUAGGACCCCCUCCCGGGCCGGAGCGGGCGGGCGCGGAGCGCCGAAGAGUUCGGGGCUCUGCGCGCCCUCACCUGGGCUGGCGCAGUGUGCGCGGCCGCGUGCGUGGGGCUGGCCGGGCCUGGCCUGCGGGGCCCGGCGGGGGACGAAGGGCCGGGACGCUGUAGGUUUCUGGGUGAGACGCCCCCUACGACGCCGGCCCAGGAGGAGCCCAGAGCGAAAGGGUCCGGGCCCCUGCUAGAGACCCGGCGUCUGACCGGCUCCUGCCUUCGCGGCCCGUACUCUUCCUGGGAGCCGUCCUCCAAGGCUGCCAUGGACUGGGGUGGUGUACUGGGCAGGUAGAGCGGGAGGCCUGUGCCGCUUGAGCCCAUGUACCUGGACUGGAGUGAGCAGAUGAGGCACCUGGCCUGGACAGCCGCUAACUUGCUUCCUGGGGUACGUGACACCCUUAGGUCCUGCUGUGCCCACUCCGCAAGCUAUAACUCAUGGACUUCCGGUCUGUGAGCCCAUCCAGCCAAGGUCCACCUCCCGGCUUCCUGAUCCUGCCCCUUCCCUUGCCUCAGUCUUUGACCACUGGUUAUCUCACUUUGUGUAGGAGCCCAGAUCCUUCCCAGGGAAUCUCUCUUCCUGCCCAGGUAGGAAGGAUCGGGUCCUUGAAGUGGAGGUGAGGGCCUUUAAGGCUCUUUCAGGCUUCAGGUCAGAGGUCAGCCGCAGAGGAUUCCUGCUGAGUCAUUGGUCUGGGUGGGCUAGGCCCCUUCCUCCCUCGGGGCCCAGGUGGGUAGGUAAAUGGGGAGAAGCAGGCUGAUGGGGCUUCACUGAGGAAUGGGGAGUGGCCAUUUCCCAGUCCACAGUCCAGGGGGAUUCUUGCCCUUUAAAGAAACAGGCCAGGGGUAAGGUGAUUGGAGGUGGUAAGCAUUGCUGUGAGGCCCACCUCCCGCGGGUGGGGGAUGGCCAGGCAGGAUGGGGACUCCCCUUCAAACCAGUAGUGCCUGUGGGAAGGCUCCUCACCAGAGGUCACAAACUGGACACUUGUCCUCCCCACUCCCGAUGAAUCUGUUCCCUUCCCCAGUGAAAUCUGAAGGAACAGCAGUGGCCCUUCCAGCGUGUCUUCCCCACGCCUCCCCAAAUAGCAGGCCGGUGCCUCUAGGCCUGUCCAGUCAGACACUGCCCACAUACAGCCUGACCAGAUAGUGGUAAAUUGUUGGUCCUGCCACAAUGGUCAGAUGCAGUGAGGCCCGUCCAGGCAGACAGGCCAACACUCAACUCACAGGUGGGCUGCCAGGCCUGCUGCUGCACCACAGGACUGCGCCCCACCCCGCACAUCAAGCAUGAAGGGAGACUGUGUGGUCAGGGCAGUGCCCCAAGAAGGAAGAACAGUUUUUCCUGGGACAAGUGGGCCAGGUGGCAUUCCCCGGCAGUUAUAGGAGUGUCCCCACCUCAGCUCUGUGUCACAUUCUGUCUUAGAAUGUCACCCCCAGGAACACCAGGUGGCACAGGUCCCAGGGUAUGCAUAGCAGAGCCUGACCCCAACAUUCUCAGGCAGGUAUGGCUUCCAACCCAGUGUAGGCCAGGGCCCCAUCCUGUCAGCACUCCUGGCCACACCUUGGGGUACACUCUUCCCCCUAGGCAGAGCCACUUCCCCAUCUGGGACUGGCAUCCAGUAACCUGUGUGCUAAGCAGAGCAGGAGUCUGCCCCAUCCCCGAACAGGAGCAGUGGGGACAGGGUGAGCGGUUCUGGGUGCUCCCACAGGCCUAGAGGCCACAGUCUCUAAGUAUGUUCAGUGGUCAUGCUGGUCAGCAUCCUAGAGGCCAGCCACCAAGCGGGGAGAUGUGAAGGGCAUGAAACUGAGCCAUGGAAAAGGCUGAUACCAUUCUUAGUCUCUUAGUGAGCAGGAGGAAGACAGUGACCUAAGGAAUUGGAAAGGUCCCAACUGCCAUGGGGCUGGGCUAGGCAAGGACAGGCCCUAUAGCAAAGGGCUGUGGUCCAGGGAGGUUUCAUCCAAGAUGAGACAGUGGCAACAGGUGGGGGUGCUGGCAAGCAGGAACCAAUCCCAGGGGUCAGCACUGGGAGGUCAGUGAAAGGGUGGUGGGAGUCCUGGUGAAACCCUAAGGAUGGGAAGAGGUGUGGCCCUGGGCAGUGGGUGGGGCCUAGGGCUAUGCCAUCCCAGGAUGAAGUCACAGCCUGGUAUGUCCCGUCAACCCUCCUGGCUGUGCUGUAUGGUGGAGGUGAUGGCUGGAGAGGCACAGCGGCUAGUCCGGGGUCUCCCAGGCAGCAGGCACAGCACUGCCUCGACCAGUGGGCACGGUGCUAGGGACCACAGCAAUAUGAAGGGGCUGUUGAUAGUGAGUCCAGCGAGGGUUGUGUUUGUCUUUGAACCAGCCAUCAAACUGUUAGAAUCUGUUUUUAUGGGAAAGGGCUCAUGAGAGCAGGACCCCUAUCAAUAAGGGCAGAAGAAGGGGAACAGGGCUGGGAUUCCUGUGACAUGCCUGGCACUUCUGAUGUCCUUCCAACUAGGGGGCAUCCUAGGCCUGGGGAGGCCUCCAGGUAUGGGCUGAACUCCAGUCCACUGAAGUCUCUGGAAACCCUGUGUGAGGGUAAAGGAGCAGGCCCCAGUGCCCCUGCCCCUCAUUAAGGUAUCUCCUCUCCAGGCCCCUGGCCCCAACAUGGCUCGCCGCUCUCAGAGUUCCUCGCAGGGGGAUAACCCACUGGCGCCUGGGUACCUGCCACCUCACUACAAAGAGUACUACCGCUUGGCGGUGGAUGCGUUGGCAGAGGGUGGACCAGAAGCCUAUAACCGCUUCCUGGCUACAGAGGGGGCACCCGACUUCCUGUGUCCUGAGGAGCUAGAGCAUGUGAACCGCCACCUACAGCCCCCACAGCAUGCUGCCCGGGAGCCCCCUGAAGGCAGCCCUCCUGAUGUGGACAUGGAUGGCUCCUCAGGCACAUACUGGCCAGUGAACUCAGACCAGGCAGUUCCUGAGCUUGACCUGGGCUGGCCCCUGACCUUCGGCUUCCAGGGCACUGAAGUCACCACGCUAGUGCAGCCGCCGCCACCUGAUAGCCCCAGCAUCAAGGAUGAGGCUCGAAGGAUGAUCCGCUCUGCCCAGCAGGUGCACGGUCGCAGGCUCUGUGGGCAGUG